UACAGGGGGUGCAAACGUUGCUCGGAAUCAUUGGGCGUAAAGAGCUCGUAGGCGGCUCGUUGCGUCAACCGUGAAAACCCGGGGCUUAACUUCGGGCUUGCGGUUGAUACGGGCGGGCUGGAGUUCGGUAGGGGAGACUGGAAUUCCUGGUGUAGCGGUGAAAUGCGCAGAUAUCAGGAGGAACACCGGUGGCGAAGGCGGGUCUCUGGGCCGAUACUGACGCUGAGGAGCGAAAGCGUGGGGAGCGAACAGGAUUAGAACUACCGUAGGUCAGU
rnacentral:rRNA from 1 species